rnacentral:rRNA from 1 species
AGUGAACGCUGGCGGCGUGCUUAACACAUGCAAGUCGAACGAGAACGGGUUAUAGCUUGCUAUAAUUGUCAGCUAAGUGGCGCACGGGUGAGUAAUGUAUAGGUAAUAUGCCUCUUACUAAGGGAUAACAAAUGGAAACGUUUGCUAAUACCUUAUACUCCUUAUUAACAGAAGUUAUUAAGGGAAAGAUUUAUUGGUAAGAGAUUAGCCUGUAUUGUAUCAGUUAGUUGGUGGGGUAAUGGCUUACCAAGACUAUGACACAUAACUGGUUUGAGAGGAUGAUCAGUCACACUUGAACUGAGACACGGUCCAGACUCCUACGGGAGGUAGCAGUGGGGAAUAUUGCACAAUGGACGAAAGUCUGAUGCAGCAACGCCGCGUGGAGGAUGACACAUUUCGGUGCGUAAACUCCUUUUAUAUGAGAAGAUAAUGACGGUAUUAUAUGAAUAAGCACCGGCUAACUCCGUGCCAGCCGCCGCCGUAA